rnacentral:rRNA from 1 species
AUUGAACGCUGGCGGCAUGCUUUACACAUGCAAGUCGAACGGCAGCGGGGAGGAGCUUGCUUCUCUGCCGGCGAGUGGCGAACGGGUGAGUAAUACAUCGGAACGUGUCGAGAAGAGGGGGAUAACCACCCGAAAGGGUGGCUAAUACCGCAUAAAUUCUGAGGAAGAAAGCUGGGGACCUAGGAAUAGGCCUAGCGCUUUUUGAGCGGCCGAUGUCGGAUUAGCUAGUUGGUGAGGUAAAGGCUCACCAAGGCGAAGAUCUGUAGCGGGUCUGAGAGGAUGAUCCGCCACACUGGGACUGAGACACGGCCCAGACUACUACGGGAGGCAGCAGUGGGGAAUGUUGGACAAUGGGGGCAACCCUGAUCCAGCCAUGCCGCGUGUAUGAAGAAGGCCUUAGGGUUGUAAAGUACUUUUGUUAGGGAAGAAAAGUCAGCUGUGAAUAAUGGCUGAUACUGACGGUACCUAAAGAAUAAGCACCGGCUAACUACGUG